CUAGACUGUACUAAAUAAAAUAAUCAUUAUUUUCAAUUUUUUUUACCAAAGUAAUUUGCUUAUAAUGGUAAAUAGUGUAGACAGGAACUGUGCAAGCUUUCUCAGAAAUGUACUUUUGAACUUUUGGAUAUAGAAACAUGCAAACCAUUAAGCUUUAAGGUUUUUAAAAACUAAUUGGGGCUGUAGCAGGGUGACUGCCCUGCACAUGGGGAAAUGGUGUGUAAUUGAUAUGUGAAAAUGUGCGUGCCUUUUUGGAGUUGUUAUGUUUGAUUAAAUUAUUGUUUACAGAGGGGAACUCAACUGAGACUUGCUGCCUGUUAGGUUUGGUUGAGAGAAAGGGCAGCGGGUGAUUGGCUGUGCUGGUCCUUGACCAGCAGGUGGGCGGGUCUCGACUGAGCGGCUGUCAACAUAAAAACAUCCGGUGGGGAUCGUUCUGGGUGACUGCACAACCAUGCUACACAGAGGCGCGCUGCGUACACUCAGGAGAGCGUCCGCUCUGCAGGAACUACAGCUACGCAACCCUUAAACUGCAACAUGGUGCUUGUGAAGGCAGUGCCCAGCCAAGGCCGUAUUAAGCAAGAGUCGUCGUAAGAAUACUGGCUCAUAACAGUUACCCACACACGUGGCACGAGUACCCUGUCACAUAUGGUGUCGGAAGUGGAUUCCUCUGCAUGACGACUGCCUGCCGAGCACCAGCGAAGGAGGACCUGCCGUUAUUGAAAGAUCGUGUCGGAAGGAGGCAGGGCCAUUCUCUGGAGAGGAGCCCCGUGAAGUGACACUGCGUUUAGGGGAUCAACAGGAAUGGGAGAGGUACAGUCCCCCACCCCCCCCACCACCCACCACCACCACCCACACACGCUGAUUGGUGAAUGCUCAUGCAGGCUGCAGUUAAUUCCUUGCUGCUAUCUCACACCGCCAGGACGCGGAACCUGUCAGAAGGACAGUUUCAAUCUCAGCUCUGCAGCAGCAGUGCAUCAGACAGCCUGCUGGGAACAGCUGGAGCAUCUACUGAGAGGAGAUGGUGGGGUUCUGUGAACUCUGAGAAAUCAAAGCUGGACAGCAGGAGAGACAGCGGCAGAUAGUUUGCUCUCUUCAACCAUGGCACCUGCAAAUGCAAAUCUUGCUGGAGGCAAAUUUGUCUUUGUUUCCCCUGGACUACACCCUGCUACACUUGUGACAAUUAAUCAGCAAACUAAUUACUUCAACAAAUCAAACCCAAAAGACAUUUUCCUUUUAAAAUCUGAAAAAAAAGAAGAUUAGAGCACAGACAGCUUUGUAACUUCCUAGUAUCAAUUUACAGUAGAACUGCAACAGGCAAGUGGUGCAAAUGGGACAAAUUAAAAUUUGAGUGAAUGUAUCAUCAGUUUGCUUGAACAAUCGAUAGAAGAGCAUACAGCAGGAACCUGCAGCUUGUCAUGCAUUUUUAUUUUAAAUUUUCCCCUUUUAUUUAUUUACUUUUUUUUUUUUUUUUAAAUAUAAAAAACACCACCAAUGAUAUAGUACAUGAAAGCCAAAUGAUCUACCUAAAAAAAAGUUAUGUGCUACAUUGCACACCAACAUGUUGGACACACUGUACAAAGUAUUAGGUCCAAAUAAAACGGGCCUCUUCAUCUAAAUGAUACAACACCUAGGUUACAAGUCACAAUUUACAGCAUCACAGGAUGCAUGACUUCUCACAAAUGAGCCAGUUACUUGUGUUGUUGCCCUAAAAAUGACUGGGCUGCCAUAACUGAAAAUGCCUCCCUGCUCCCCUCUCCACCUACAGAGAUACUGCAGCAGAGUGUCCUGUAGCACCUCCAAGGCUUGCAGAAGAUGAACCUGCAGCUUCUUCCCAAUUAUUCCUAGCAUAACAAACAACAUUUCCAUGUUAAGAUGGGCUUGGUGCCAAACAGAUACUCCCACUGUGCUGUUUGAGUCCCGAAACCAAUUUACUGUUAGAAACCUGAUUAGUACCAUCCCUGUGGUUUUGUUAUUUUUUUGGCACUCUCAGUGCAGCGGGUCAGACAGAACAAUUCUGAUGUGUUGUUUAAAAAAAUAUUUGUAAAAUACUGUGUCUGUCUCUGUAUGGUGGCUCUCAAAAGUAUUCA